GAGAGCACCUUUCAGAGGCGGCAUGGGGUGAAGGGAUGGCUACCAACCACCCCUGCUUUCCCAAAGCCUGUAACCAACGGAUGGGUUUGACAAGCUUCAGGAAUCUUGUGUGUGUGUGCCAGCAAUACCUGUGGAUAAAAGAAUACGAUGUUCAAGGUACUCUGGCGUUCUGGUCUCAGUGUGGAAGCUGGAUUACCUCCCGAUGAGGCUGGCAGGGCUGGCUGCUGGAGUUUGCUGUGGCUGCAGGAUCUUCU